GACGAACGCUGGCGGCGUGCUUAACACAUGCAAGUCGAACGGAAAGGCCCUGCUUUUGUGGGGUGCUCGAGUGGCGAACGGGUGAGUAACACGUGAGUAACCUGCCCUUGACUUUGGGAUAACUUCAGGAAACUGGGGCUAAUACCGGAUAGGAGCUCCUGCUGCAUGGUGGGGGUUGGAAAGUUUCGGCGGUUGGGGAUGGACUCGCGGCUUAUCAGCUUGUGGGUGGGGUAGUGGCUUACCAAGGCUUUGACGGGUAGCCGGCCUGGGAGGGUGACCGGGCACAUUGGGACUAAGGUACGGCGCAGACUCCUACGGGGGGCAGCAGUGGGGAAUAUUGCACAAUGGGCGGAAGCCUGAUGCGACAACGCCGCGUGCGGGAUGACGGCCUUCGGGUUGUAAACCGCUUUCGCCUGUGACGAAGCGUGAGUGACGGUAAUGGGUAAAGAAGCACCGGCUAACUACGUG
rnacentral:rRNA from 1 species